rnacentral:rRNA from 1 species
AUCAACUUUCGAUGGUAGGAUAGAGGCCUACCAUGGUGGUAACGGGUAACGGGGUGUUAGGGCACGACACCGGAGAGGGAGCCUGAGAAACGGCUACCACAUCCAAGGAUGGCAGCAGGCGCGCAAAUUACCCAAUCCCGACACGGGGAGGUAGUGACAAUAAAUAACAAUACGGGGUCCUUUCGGGUUUCGUAAUUGGAAUGAGUACAAUUUAAAUCUCUUAACGAGGAACAAUUGGAGGGCAAGUCUGGUGCCAGCAGCCGCGGUAAUUCCAGCUCCAAUAGCGUAUAUUAAAGUUGUUGCAGUUAAAAAGCUCGUAGUUGAAUUUCGGGAUUAGUACGUUGGUCGUGCCUUCGGUACGUACUGGUGUUACUGAUUCCUACCUUCUGACGAACCAUCAUGUCAUUAAUUUGGUGUGGCGGGGAAUCAGGACUGUUACUUUGAAAAAAUUAGAGUGUUUAAAGCAGGCUCGCGCUUGAAUACAUUAGCAUGGAAUAAUGAAAUAGGACGUUGACCCUAUUUUGUUGGUUUCUAGGAUUGACGUAGUGAUUAAUAGGGAUAGUUGGGGGCAUUAGUAUUCAAUUGUCAGAGGUGAAAUUCUUGGAUUUAUUGAAGACUAACUACUGCGAAAGCAUUUGCCAAGGAUGUUUUCAUUAAUCAAGAACGAAAGUUAGGGGAUCGAAGACGAUCAGAUACCGUCGUAGUCUUAACCAUAAACUAUGCCGACUAGGGAUCGGAUGAUGUUAUUUUUAAUGACUCAUUCGGCGCCUUACGGGAAACCAAAGUGUUUGGGUUC